rnacentral:rRNA from 1 species
GUGGGGAAUAUUGGGCAAUGGGCGGAAGCCUGACCCAGCGACGCCGCGUGGGGGAAGAAGUCUUUCGGGAUGUAAACCCUUGUUGUACGGGACGAAGGAAGUGACGGUACCGUACGAGGAAGCCCCGGCAAACUACGUGCCAGCAGCCGCGGUAAUACGUAGGGGGCGAGCGUUGUCCGGAAUCACUGGGCGUAAAGCGCACGUAGGCGGGCUGUCAAGUCGGCCGUGAAAGGCACGGGCUCAACCUGUGCAUGUCGGGCGAUACUGGCGGUCUGGAGUAUGGGAGAGGGAACUGGAAUUCCCGGUGUAGCGGUGAAAUGCGGAGAUAUCGGGAGGAACACCAGUGGCGAAGGCGGGUUCCUGGCCCAUGACUGACGCGGAGGUGCGAAAGCCGGGGGAGCGAACGGGAUUAGAAACCCCGGUAGUCC